GGAUGGAUGGAUGGAUGAAAAACUUUAUUAUGGUCCUUUAGGGCGCGCCCUAGCGCGCAGCGGGCCGCUCCCACGUCGGGACAGAGAGGCCGAGCCUCUCCGCUGCGUCGCGGGCCCGUUGGACAGCCCAUAACUGUUCUUCGAGGUUGGGGCUGUGUAGGACAGCAUCCCAGCGUGAAGAAGUGUUACUUUCAUCACUGCGUAACGCGGGGCAUCGCCAGAGCAUGUGAGGGUAUCACCACACCGUCAGGCAAGCAUGACCGGAGCAACCAUACUUGGAAUCUUACUUGCAGCACUUAUGAUAGCGGCUGUUGAGCCAUUUCCUGGAUACACCUGCCUGCCGCCUGUGCAAGGCUGUCCUAAACCCACCUUGAAGAGAAGCUAUGAGCGGUUCUUCUUCAACAUCAGUUCCUAUCGCUGCUACGGCAUCAAAACUAGUGGAUGUGCAGGAUAUGGAUUCGACUCUAUAUUGUCCUGUACCACUAGCUGCGGUCAAAGAAAGCAUUUGUAGACUUGCCGUUUUGUCGGACGGAACAUCAUACUAGAUGUUGGUUGGAAAUAAAACUAGGCCGAAAUUCAUCUGCAGAAAUGCAUCAAACGUGCAUUAACAAAAUUAUGUUUGGAGCAGGCUUCUCGAAUGGCUUAUUGCAAGAAUUAAUAAAUUCUGCCUACG